rnacentral:rRNA from 1 species
AGAGUUUGAUCAUGGCUCAGAUUGAACGCUGGCGGCAUGCUUUACACAUGCAAGUCGAACGGCAGCGGGGGCUUCGGCCUGCCGGCGAGUGGCGAACGGGUGAGUAAUGCAUCGGAACGUACCCAGUCGUGGGGGAUAACUACGCGAAAGCGUAGCUAAUACCGCAUACGCCCUGAGGGGGAAAGCGGGGGACCUUCGGGCCUCGCGCGAUUGGAGCGGCUGAUGUCGGAUUAGCUAGUUGGUGGGGUAAAGGCCUACCAAGGCGACGAUCCGUAGCUGGUCUGAGAGGAUGAUCAGCCACACUGGGACUGAGACACGGCCCAGACUCCUACGGGAGGCAGCAGUGGGGAAUUUUGGACAAUGGGCGAAAGCCUGAUCCAGCCAUGCCGCGUGAGUGAAGAAGGCCUUCGGGUUGUAAAGCUCUUUCAGACGGAAAGAAAUCGGGCGAGUCAAUACCUCGCCUGGAUGACGGUACUGUCAGAAGAAGCACCGGCUAACUACGUGCCAGCAGCCGCGGUAAUACGUAGGGUGCGAGCGUUAAUCGGAAUUACUGGGCGUAAAGCGUGCGCAGGCGGUUGUGUAAGACAGGUGUGAAAUCCCCGGGCUUAACCUGGGAACUGCGCUUGUGACUGCACGGCUAGAGUACGGCAGAGGGGGGUGGAAUUCCACGUGUAGC